rnacentral:sRNA from 1 species
GCAUGGAUAAUGGAUUCAAAAGGGGGAUGGCGGCGGAUGCCUCGUAGCAAGGGACACUGCAACGAAGAACAAGAUAGGCCGAAUCGGUGUAUGAAACGUAAAUAUAUAAAGGGUAUGCAAGUCAGCUUAUUUCAUGAUCCCCACCUAACAAAACAACUGACCCGAUAUAUAUAAAUACAUAUAUACGCAGUAUAAGAGCUGGAAAUGGUAUCAUUAUUUCUCUAAUCCAGGGUUGGAUGCCAACGACCCGACACUCGUCGACUACGAACCAAAACCAAACUAAAAGAAUUGAAUUCCGGACGGGGACAAGAAAAAUGAGGUAAAAAACACCGAAAUGAGGACCGAAGGGGAAAAGAAGAGGUUUCUCCCAUUGAUAUCCGAACAAGCGAAGGGUAUUUCAAAUCGACAAAAUAAUCACUCAUAUCAAUAGCAUCCCCCCAUACGUCUUCCAUCAAACUUCCGCAAAAUAAACAAAUAACACGUCGUAGCUGUGCAAGGCUGCCUAUUAUUACCACAAACCAGAACUCUCAACCCACUACAUCUCAUGCGAUGUUGUGAUUACCCCAAGCCGACACGGAAAACCAAAAGUCGAAAGGAUUAUAGGAAAGGGCUACGCAAAAACUAAAAAAAAAAAAAAAAAAAAAAAAGAAAAAAAAAAAAACAGGAAAAUCAAUAAUAAAUCGGUUCCUGAUAAAUCGGCGGCAUCCCUUUCUCCUCAUUCCACGUAAUCUUAUUAUUCUUCUCAUCAAUCGUCGCAUCCUCGUCGGAAAUCGCAAUCACCUUGGACGUAUGCGCCACCUCCUGCCUACUCACUCCACCAACAUCGCGUGGAAUCCACAACAACGGCGGCUUCGAGCCGACAGAAGGGUGGAAAUAAGCAUUCUGCUCAACCUCAGGAGUAUAUGAGAUAUCGGCAAAAUCCUUGGGGACGAGCUUGCGCAGAGUUUCGUAGUUGGCGUAUCUGUCUGGGCGCAGAAAUUUGCCGACAAUGCCAUGGGGCUUUGUUGGGAGGAGGUCGGUGGGGUUUGAUAUCCCCUUUUCGGCAUCAGUGCCAUCCGCGCCAUUGCUGGAAGGACCAACAGCGGGCUUUUCAGCAGCAUCACUGUUGUCUUGAGGAGAGCCAUCUUUGGCGAGCAGGUCCUGCUCUUCUGCUUCGAGGUUGCGUGGCAGAUACUCGAGCAAUGGAGUGACAGCAGCAUUAAGCGAAACAUGGUAGAUAACUACAAAGACAAGGAAGAUGAUCAUGAGGAUUAAGGGCCCGAGGGCGCUCCUGUCACUGCCAGUGCUGAUGGCAAAGAGGCCCACUAGACAGAGAAUGAGGAGGUAGCAGCCUACGGCUGUUUGUUGGAGGGCACGAGGGUAAAUCAUGCCUUUGGUGUCGAUGUUGCUAUUGGUGACGUACAGCAUGUUAUAACGAUAUGCGACAUAGAAGAGGAACAAUCCAAUAGUGGCGAAGCCAAGGACCAAGGGGGCAAUGGCACCAUAGGUAAUGGCUAAAGAGGGGGAGUAAUCAGUCUGAUUAUGGUUUGAUAACGAUGAGAUUGGGAUGGGUUUACAUACCAAUCACGCAAAGGUUGGUCAGAACCGGCAAGACGGUCCCCCAACCCAAACCGGAGAGCGUUGACCACCGUUUGUACAUCUUUCGGGGAGUGUUGUCCAAAAGAGUGCCCAAGAUUUUUGAUACAACCAAGCCAGCGAUCUGGAGCAGAGCACCCGCACUGAAAGUUAGACCCUGGAGAAUGAAGUACGCAAUAUAGAAGUUAGACGCUUUGGGGAUGUUCUGAGCCAGCAAUGUAGCUGCACUUUCAGGUUUUUGGAUCACUUUCUGUACAACACUUGAGGCUGCAGAAGAUAAUGUUGUAACAAGGAACACCUGGACAACCUGGAAUCCAAAAUAGAAGUUUUGGGUUCUGAGCUCUGCAGCAGCUGUAGUUGGACAUCCACCAAGUCGUGCCAUUACUACAAAUCGAAACAAUUAGCGUGGAGAAUAGUUAAGUGAUUGGACAGCACUUACGUCGAAGUAUGAUGGGCAGCAGAGCCAUCAGAACUGCAAGGAGCACAGCGGGGAGCAGGGAAGUGAUAAGACCCAGAAUGACCGGAGGACAGUCAUUAAUAAAUCCGAGAAAAGGGACUUUUUCUGUUAAGAAGUUGAUGUUUGAGAUGGCACCCACAACAGCAACUGGAAUCGCCCAGAAGAUGAUCAGGGUUACAACAGCACCAAUGGUGGCAGCAUUUCUGAUAAUAAGCUCCCACCACUUAAUCCUCAAAUUUGACCAGAUGAUAUCGUUUGGAUUGAGACCAAUGUAUCGUGGAGCCAUGUGGAGGGGUUGGUUAUGAGCAACUGAUGCCGGAGUUAAUACGCUGCCUGCGCCUCAUUUUGAGUGUAGAAUUCUACAAAUACCGCGGAUAUUUUCUUAGCAUCACCAGCACGAUGUUUUGCCUGGAGGGCUUCUAUUUCUGGAUUCAAACGCUCGAUCUCAGUCCUCGACCAGUUGAUGGUAUCAACCUUUUUGCCAAUAAGGGGUUUGAGUUUAUGGGUAGGCCUAUUGGAAGGUUUUAUCCAGCGGGCGGCCACUGAGCCUGAUUCUGCCUGAGCCUCAUCACCAGUAAGAUUAUCUGUGUCGUGGUUUUCCUCAUCGGCUGGCUUAGCCUUGAGAGACUUAAUGCGUGCACCAUUGGCCAAUUUGAUCAGUUUUGUUUCAGCGGCCUCAAGGCGGAAUGCGGUUUUGUCUCUUUCCUCAACCAAGUCCGCCAAUUCCUUGGUGUCAGUUGGGAUCCAAACAUUUUUCACUUUAUCAUCGCCAUAAAUACGUCGAAUCUUUGCUUCAUUCAAGUAUUCUUGGGGGACAGAGGUGAAAAGAACGGUCUUCGAAGAGAUACGGGAAGCGUAAAGUGGAGAGAAGAAGUAUGCUUGGCGCAGGUUGAUGAAAAAGAGCAUUUCCCGUGUGAUCAUGAAGAAAACAAAACCUUUGGGUGAGUGGUAUGCGAUUUUAGUACUUUGCUUACUUUCCGGCCAUUGAGGGCAGGUGGGACCUACCAACGAAGAUCCAAGUCACAAAGGUAUGGGCAUAGAAUCUAUUCAGGUUGUUUUUCACGUUUCCAAAAGUGAGGAUAUCCAAUUGUUUUAAUCCCCCACCGCCAGUGGCAUUGAUGGGAAAUAGAACUGGCCAGGUGAUAAAACAGCCCACCAGGCAAAUUGUCGUUGCAAUCUUCAGGUAUCGAAGGAGGAGAUAUGCAUCUAGAGAGUGAUGUCGCAAUACGUAUUCAUCAGACAGCUUGGCCAUCGACGUUAUCCAACCAAAGAUCCCCGGUGAUGGCGCUGGAGUGCGCUCCUGCUCUCGCAGUGAGCCAAGAUAGGUUCUUGGUGCAUAUUGGCGACGUUGACUUUGACGGAGAAUGAUGAAGAGCAGUACCAUGGCCCCGGAGAUGAUGAGGGUGGGGAUCAAGGUCGAGACCAGCCCGGAGGCCGAGUUGGAGGUAUUCUUAGGGUCCUCGUCCUGGGGUGCGAGUACAUUGUUAGAUUCAAGUCUUACAUCUCGAAGCAAACAUGCCGGCCACGUUCAAGAAGAGAGAUUGAGGGUUAUAACCAUUGCUUACCAUGGCUGCGGUUUCUGCUACAGCUGCCCCUGUGUUCCGCUGUCAAGCUGCACAAUGCAGGUCGAUGGGGAGCCGCCAACUGCAGCAAUGACAGCAAAGACGGACUCAAGUUAACGAUAUAUAUCGCCAGCCUUCGAGCGCACAAUGGAAUCAGAUAAAAAGGGGAAAAAAGGAAACAAGGCCCGGAAGAGGGGAACAGUGUUGAAUUUUCAUUUAUGUGCAAGUUCAAAAGCAGGAGAGGCAGGAAAAUGAAAAUAAAAAGAGGCGACGAUACAAAGGAGCAAGCCAGGCAAGCCACGAUGAAGUGGACAAACACGCGAUUUGCUGCCGCAAGCGUUCACUGCUCGAUGGCAAGCCACAGCUCUAUCUGAUGCAAGAGGCAGGAAAAUAGUUGUUGUUCUGCCACCAAGCUGGGAAUCCAUCACAGCAAGUCAAUGCCGGGUUUGGCAUUGGCCAGGCUUACUGGUUGCUAGGUUUUCUUUCUUUUUCUCAUAUUUUUUUUUUUAGAGCUCGCGGAGCCGAGGACUCCCUCGACGAUC